rnacentral:rRNA from 1 species
AUACGUAGGGGGCAAGCGUUGUCCGGAAUCAUUGGGCGUAAAGCGCGUGUAGGCGGCUUGGUAAGUCCGUUCUGAAAGCCCGGGGCUCAACCCCGGGAGGCGGAUGGAUACUGUCAAGCUUGAGUCCGGAAGAGGCGAGUGGAAUUCCCGGUGUAGCGGUGAAAUGCGCAGAUAUCGGGAGGAACACCAAUGGCGAAGGCAGCUCGCUGGGACGUGACUGACGCUGAGACGCGAAAGCUAGGGGAGCAAACGGGA